CUCCCUGGGGGAGGUGACUGAGCUCAUGGGUUAUACUUAGAGUCACUUGAGAGCCCCUGGGUGUGGCCAUGGGGAAGAGGCCAUGGCUUCCCUGUCCUGUCCACUCUGUAGUCCCAGACCUCUCCACCUGAGCCUCAUAUGAAGCAUAAGGCAGAUUUGAGGCUCUUCCCUGGGCCCUGGCAACCCAGCAUCCUGCCACGGAGUAAGCUGUAGCCCUACUGUCUGCCACACUUCACUCGUCUCUUUCUUCUAGAACUUUCCAAUCUAUUCCUUCUCUCCGAAAGUAGCAGGCUGGGGAUGGUAGCACAGGCCUUUAAGCCUAGCACUCAGGAGGCAGAGGCAGGAUCGCUAUGAAUUUGAGGCCAGCCUGGUCUAUAUUGAGUUCUGGGCCAGCCAGGGCAGCACAGUAAGGCCCCUGUCUUUAAAAAAAACUGGGGUGGGGGCAAGAAAGAAAGAACGAAAGAAAAGGAAGGAAGGAAGGAAGGGAGGGAAACUUGUUUUCUUUUGUUUCUUUAUCAGUGCUUUGCUGUGUGUUUUGGGUUGCUCAGUUUCCCUCUCUGGGCCUCAUCUGUCCAUAAAGGAUACAUCUGUGGUAGUCUCUGCUUUAGACCUGAGCUGCACCUCAGAAGGAGGGAUAGCAACCCUAUUGGUGACUC
rnacentral:lncRNA from 1 species